CCGUCCGCAAAGCCUUGGCCAAGGAUAAGGAAUGGCAAGAACAAUUCCUCAUUUCAAAUUUGGCUUUCAUGGAUGAACAAGAGGUUGAGAUUACCUACUUGGUACCCUGGUGUAAAAUAAGAACACCUCCCAAGGAAGGAGUCUAUGAACUGGCUACCUUUCAGAUGAAGCCUGGUGGCCCAGCUCUAUGGGGUGAUGCAUUCAAAAGGGCAAUAAACGCCCAUGUUGAGCUUGGCUACUCUACACUAGUUGGUGUUUUCCACACUGAAUAUGGAGCCCUCAACAGAGUUCGGGAAAGUGUCAAUUACCUCGAGUCUCAGCAGAAUAUGUUCCUGAUUCCAACCUCAUUUUCACCAUUGAAGUAGUUUCCUACCGAGCGCUGAGCAUUCCCAUCACGGAGGUGAGAUGCGUUUCCCCCAGACAAUCGCCCUGUUCAUUGUCUGAAGGAGGUGCUGAGCUACCGCACUGCCCUCUGCAUGUCUGAGACUUCAUGUAUCCUUUACUACCAGUCGCUCAGGAAAUGUUUCUGUCCCUUUUCAUGUCUACUGGAUGUCAGAAAGUGGUGUUAUUACUCCAUGCCCUGGUACUUCAUUGUUCUUCUGUGGUUUUAUGAUUAAGUCUUGUCCUCAAAAUAUGAUUUUGAAAUUUUUUCCCUCAAAAUAUUUGGAAAUUAAAUAAAUACAAUAUCUGCCUUU
rnacentral:lncRNA from 1 species